UGCAUUGUUUUAUAGCUUGAUUGUGGGU
rnacentral:piRNA from 1 species